GUUUUGGUAGUUUAAGAAAAAUGUGUGGCUGUUAACCACAGGAUAAGGGGUAGCAAGAAACGCUUUGUUCCUUUCAAAAUG
rnacentral:tRNA from 1 species